rnacentral:rRNA from 1 species
UGGGGAAUCUUCCGCAAUGGACGAAAGUCUGACGGAGCAACGCCGCGUGAGUGAAGACGGCCUUCGGGUGGUAAAGCGCUGUUAUUCGGGAAGAACGAUUCGUUUGUGAACAAUGAACGGAAGUGACGGUACCGAAAGAGAAAGCCACGGCUAACUACGUGCCAGCAGCCGCGGUAAUACGUAGGUGGCAAGCGUUGUCCGGAAUUAUUGGGCGUAAAGAGCGCGUAGGCGGUAUGGUAAGUCUGUCUUAGAAGUGCGGGGCUUAACCCCGUGAGGGGACAGAGACUGUCAUACUGGAGUCUCGGAGAGGAAAGCGGAAUUCCUAGUGUAGCGGUGAAAUGCGUAGAGAUUAGGAAGAACACCGGUGGCGAAGGCGGCUUUCUGGACGAGCACUGACGCUGAGGCGCGAAAGCGUGGGGAGCGAACAGG